rnacentral:lncRNA from 1 species
GCAAAUGACUAAAAUAACUUUCUUCUUAAUUACUGAUCAUGCAAAGGAAGGCAAGUAGUCAAACUGAAAUCUUUAUUCUCCAACUGGAAAUAGAUACCAAAGAAAGCUUACAAAAUUGUAAGUCUUUUGAAAAAUUUUAUCUUUCUAAAUGGUGAAACUGACUAUAGUUUUAAAAAUUAAACUAUGUUAGUACACAUGAUAUCCUGGGCACAAUAUCUGUUUUAAUGGCUUUCCUCAUAUUUUUUCAUGCUCUCUUUUCUAGGCAUCCUGAGUUUCCACCUGGCUAAUGAAUUUAGGGAGAAUUUUCACCACUUCUGAAUAAGUGGCCCAUGUGUUUCAAUUAUGGACAAAAUCAACAAAACACACCAGUAAGUGAAGCAAAGGAAAAGCCAUGGGCCUGAAAACCUGGGCUUCUCUUCCUGCCAUAACACAAGCUAUUCAGCAGCCAAGAACAAGGGUAUUUUCUGGAUUUUCUACAGUGAACAUGUACGAUCUUUAUACUAAAAGUUUAGUUUUUUGUAAAAAAUUAUGUAAACAACAGUACUUAUUUGGAAGUUUAAUGCAUGAAAGCAUCUCUGAAUUUGGCCUAAAUGCAAUGACCAUACUAAGUCUUUCUGACCAGACCAGCAAACCAGCAGAAUAAGCAUUUCAACCAUUCUUCAUGCUGAAUGUGAUUACUGUUCCAAGUGAUGGGUUUUAAGGGGCUUUUAAAUUCAAUUUGUGAGUACAGUUAGGCCUCCAUAAUAAUCAACCUAAUUCAACCAUUAUGUAAAUCACUGCCUCACAGAGAGGUACCCUGGUGGAGAAAGAGAAAAGACCACAAGCAAGAAUACUUAGGAAACAGAAUGCUUUGACUAAAUGAAUGUGAUACUUAACAGCAAUAAAAAAAAACCUUUAAUUCAAG